ensembl:lncRNA
GGUUGCAGCCAGGAUCCACCCCUUCCCAGCCCUUAUUUAAGGGUUGGCAGUGGAGGCAAGGAGGUCUUGCUGGAGAUCCUUGCAUAGCUGAGAUCUUGCAACAAUGCUGCUUGGUGAGGGGCAUUAGUGUUUUGAAACACUGCAGUGGUGCUGCAGCUGCAUUAGCAGGAGAAAAGCUCACAUUUGCCGGAAGAAGGAGGCAUCUGGAUUUAGCAAGAGUAAGGAACCUGGCUCUGACACCUCCAGACACUGCUAAAGCUGGGGAUGCUCUUUGGGCCGGCCGUGCUGCUGAUGGUUUGUUGGCUCCUGCCUGAAUGAAUGCAAUAACCUUGUGUUCAGGGUUGGGCAAGGAUGGAUGGAUUCUUUUGCUGCAAAGAGUGCCCUGAAAAGGAUUAGCUCCCUCCGAGUGUCUCAACCACAGCCUUCCAUGGGAUGGUCUGCUUUGAUGCCUCAUUUUCCCUCAAGGAACUGCAGUCUUCGCUCUCACCCCACUGUCAGAUUUGAUUCAUCUCUGCAAAGAAGGAUACUGGAGAGUGCUGGUACUGGUAAUGCUGGCUGGGGUACCCAGGGCAGGAUGCACCAUGCUGCAGUGCACAUCCCCUGGGAUGCAGUGCUUGGUGCUGCCGAGCAGCUCAGGUUUUAGCCAAAGCUGCUGCAGCAGUGAGACACCACUGCUCACACACUUCAGUCCAUUAAACCUACAAUGGAUGAUCCCUGUGGAUUAAAUAAGACUGUGAUUGGGAAGUUCAUUUGAAAGCUUUCGCCAGUGUGAGCUCCGAACUGCCCCAGCCUGCUGCGUUCCCGCCUCAAUCAGCAUUAAAUUCUGGAUCAGCCUGGCUGAUUUCUGAAGACCUCACAUCUAAAGGUCGAGCAGAUCGUCUGCUGCUGAGCGGGAGAGAGGGGGCAGUGGGAAGCAAUGGUGCCAGCCAGGGAGCCUGCCGGGCACUGUGUCCUGACGCCAGCGGAGCCCAGGGACCAAAAGGAGCAGGCAAAGCCCUGAGGCAGCCCCAGAGCAAACAGAUCCAGAGUUUUCACAAGAAAAGGAAAUGUCUCCAUAAAGCAGUGCUGAGCAGCAGGAAUGUUGCACUGUUCAGAACAAAAGGUUUGGUUGAGUGGACUUUUUUUUUUUCUUUUUAUCUUUAUAUAAUGAAAUUUUAGGGAAAACAGAGCUCGUCGUGGUCCAAAAACCAAAACGUGAAGAUGAAGCCAUCUGGUGGAAAAGGAGCAGAAGGUCAGACCUGCUCCAGCCGGACUCAACCCUUCCUCUGCCUUCUUCCUCCUCCUGCCCCAGAGCAUCUCCCCUAUCCCCUCUCCCCAACCCCCUCCCCAGAUGCACAAUAUAUCCCUUCAGCCCUCCCCCAUGGCACACUUUGAGCUGCCCACCAACCCACUGCCCCCAUCCCUUCUAUCAGCAUUAACAAACCCACAACAGUUCAUUCCAGCAUUACUGUUUCAACCAGGCUGCCAUGUGAUAACGCUCCCGGCCCGUCAGCGCUCGCAGCUGCACGGCAGAUUAGUUAUAUUGUGCUGCGAGGCACCCAGCGAAACCAUCAGUGAGGCACUUACAGAAUUAGGGCCUGGCACUUAAUCGCUUUGCUGGUGGCUGCGUGUUAUUAAAUUCCCCCGAGUUCAGCAACUUCUUAGCCUAGCUCAAGGUUUUUGUUGUUGUUGUUUUGCUACAAGGCUCAGAGCAAUGCUCGGAGUGCCUGGGGAGCUUGGGUGAGCCGGGGUCAGCAAUGGCAUCCAAGAAGUGUUUUUCAUUUAAUGCCACCAAUCUAUCUUUAUCUCGGUAACCAAAGUGAAUAGAUAGAGGCAGUAGCUUCACCAGGGGACUGAAACAACUCAGUCCCACUGAAGUCAGUGGGUGUUUGGGGUGGAAUUCCUCUCAUCUGCCUUUAGAUGGAGAUAUCUCCAACAUGUGAUUCAUCCAACCCUUACUAAAAACACCUGGGAAAAGUUGCCUUCAAGGGGAGCCUCCUUAUAAAGAAAAUACAGAGAGCCCAAGAGUUUCUGGUCCAGUCCUGCCUCUGACAUGCUGUUCCCUCCAGGGAACACUCAAGGAGCACAACUGGUGUAAAGAGAUGUUGGCAAAGCCUCUCCCAUCUCGUGCCAAAGGAUUCCCAUUCCACAAUAAAGGACGCCCGUGCUGUACCAAAUGAUGCCCAUCCACAGCAGUGUCUGACCCAUUUCCAGCCUGUGCACACCCUGGACAAACUCAAAUAAAGAGAAGAGCAGGAAAGACAGACUCCUGAAUCACCUCUGCUCUUUUCCAGUUGAGAAACCAGAGCACCACAGCAUGGAGCGAUGCGCGGGGCGAGGUGAGAGCACCCAUUGUGAGCACCGGAGCUGCAGGAGAGCCGAGUCCUGUUUUUCAGGAGAAAAGCUGUUUGUAUGGGAUAAACCUCUGAGCUUCUUCUAGAAAACCUUUCCUUGGUUACAGAAAAUGCCUUUCCCGUAACAUCUCACAUGCAGUGGAUGUGGGCUGGGGAAGUCCCUUGCAAGGCAGGUGCACACCUGAAGCCCAGCCUUGGCCUCCAAAUGCCCCCAGCCAAGCUGUUUCCUCAAAUUACCUUAAAGAAAGGCUAUCUUGCUUCUGAAGGUGAACAUCAGGAAUCUGCUGCACGCUUCUUCAUGGCCUCAGGGCUGCUCCUCAGGCAGAUCUCCCCAUGGACCUGUCAGAUCAGAAAAGAGCAUGCCUGUGGGAAUGAAGGCAAGCUUCUGCCUUCCCAGAUCCUUUCAGUUUCCAGAGCUAAAUGUCUUCCCAAAGGGUAUAGUCCAAACUGAGGCAAGGUGCUGAUGAAGAGCUGUGGUCCCCCUCAGCCCCUCUGAUCCCAGCGUCCUUUCUAAAGGUUGUUCAUCUCCUCCAGCAUCCUCGAAGCGUUUGGCACUGGCCACCUCUUUGGAAAAGGCUGCCAGAUGGAGAUGAAGAGAAGGGGUGUAGCAGUGAAUACCUACCUGAUGAAUUAUCUCCUCUGGGUGAAAGCUGGAGUUUAUCUAGGAUCACUCCUAGGUCAUUGUUAAGGAUGCCCCAGUGCCUGGUGUUUUACUUGACUCCCUCAUGCAGAAAUUCCCUUCCAUAGCACGUGCAGGAUGCUUUCUCCAACCUGUACUUCAGGGAUGCAAUCUCAUCCAUGUACUACUUUAAUGUACAUAAACACGUAUUGUUCUGCAGGACAAAAGCUGCUGUAUAUUAAUAUCGUUAUCAACAGCUCCCUGUUAUUGCUGCACUUAGUAAUUACGCCUGACGACAUGCUGAAUGACAGAAGUGAAGUUUAAGGUCAACCACGGAAAAAAUUAGCAUCAGCUUCUGCCUCUCCAGGGGAUGGAUGGAAACCACAAAAUGGGUCUCAAAUUUUCGCCACGGAGCCCAACCUUCCUGCACUGUGCUGCUCUGCUCCGCCUCGCACACAAUGUUCUGGCACGAGGCUCUCAUUUGUCUGAUUUAAGAAGUUUGCCAUGGCCCUUCCUGGCAAGUUAUAUUUACAGGUGAAAAUGCAGGGUAAUAUUUAGAGGUAAGUGGUAUUUAUAAGUACAUACACAGGGAAAUGUUUACAGGCAAGAUACUCACGGGUAAUUAUAGAUCAAUACUUCAAAGUAGAGUAAAUAAGCAGGUAAAAGACCUUUGCCAGUGUGUUACAAAUAAAUAUUUAGAUACAACAGAUGCAUGUAAGUAUGUGUAGGUUAUAGGGAAGAGAUAAAGAUUAGAAUUUAGAUGGAGCGCUUUUAUAGAAGGAGAGGCAAAGUACAGCUGCACCAUUAGCAGCACAUCCAUAACUCAGCCACAUAAGAGCAUCCGAGUGACACUAUCAGAUCAGACCCACAGUCCAUCUCACCCGGCACUGGGCUUCCAGCAGCAGCUCCUGGCAUGGCCACUGAGCAGAGAAACGAAGGUCAGAGAAGUCUUUCUUCUGGCUGGGGAGCACUGAUGCCUCCUCACACGGUGUCCAGGACAGAGGGCAGCGUCCGGAUCUGUUACGCCUUCCCAGCUUCCUCCAACUCAUUGCACCCCUAUCUCUGUGCCGGAUACAGUGCAACCCAUGUUUGACAAAGUUCAGCCAAGCGACGAGCAGCCUGGAAGGCCCUGAGAUCCCACUGAAAUCCCCAUCCAAUUUAUCAAGUCAAAAAUUCAGCCGGGUGGGAGCAAAGUGGGAUGAAGCUCUGAUCAAGGCAGGCGAUUACGGCGCAGCCAGUUACACAAAUCACAGCUCCGAUGCGGGGGGAUGGAGGGGUGGAGAGGAGUUUUUCCAGAGCUGGGCACAGCUCGAGAUAAGAGCCUGUUGUUAGUAAAUAAAAAAUGCCGGGGAAUCGCCCAUCUGAUCGGUGCUCGCUCCCAUCAGGCUCACAGAAGCUGCCAGCAUUAUUUCCAGACCUUUCACUGAGAAUACUAAAGGGCGUUUGGAAAGGCGAGAACAAAGCUACAACUUUAUUUGAGCACAAAACAAAAGCAAACAAAUGCAUACCCAGAAGACCGAGCUCUGAAAGGAGGGCGAUAGACUAUUCAGCCGCCAUCUGAAGCGGCUCUCGGACAGCUCAUGACUGUUAAGAAGUUUCCCUCA